GAUAAACGCUGGCGGCGUGCCUAAUGCGUGCAAGUCGCACGGAGCGCUCUUUCGGGGGUGCUGAGUGGCGAACGGGUGAGGAACGCGUGGACAACCUACCCCGGCGUGGGGGAUACCCGCCAGAAAUGGCGGCUAAUACCGCGUACGGUUCUCUGGCGAGGGGCUGGGGAAAGAAAGCCGUGAGGCGCGCUGGGAGGGGUCUGCGGCCGAUUAGCUGGUUGGCGGGGUAAUGGCUCACCAAGGCGAUGAUCGGUAGCUGGUCUGAGAGGAUGAUCAGCCACACGGGGACUGAGACACGGCCCCGACUCCUACGGGAGGCAGCAGCAAGGAAUUUUCCGCAAUGGGGGCAACCCUGACGGAGCAACGCCGCGUGACGGAUGACGCCUCUUGGGGUGUAAACGUCUUUUGCCGAGGGAGAGUAUGGACGGUACUCGGCGAAUCAGGACCGGCUAACUACGUGCCA
rnacentral:rRNA from 1 species